rnacentral:rRNA from 1 species
UUGCAUUCAUGUUUUGGUUAACUUUGCUUCUUACUAAUUGUGGAGUUUGUUUUGUUUUGGUUGUCAUUCUUUGUUUCUUUCCAGAUUUGCACAUUUUUUCUUCUCUUUGUUUUGUUGAUGUUGCAUGAUCAUGAUCAUAAUUAGUCACUUAAUUGAGUUUAUGUAUUUUUUGAAUAUAUUGAGUCCCAUUAGAGGCAAAUAUUUUAGGCAACAUGAGACUAAGAUGAGAAGGAAGAUGUGGCUAUAGAAUACGAAGAUAAAAUUAAUUGUUUGGGUAUUAUUGUUGCCUUGAUUCUUAUCAUUGUUUUGUCUAUUUUCCAUGGCUUUAGUUGUUAAAUUGGCUUGGAACUUCCUGGAGACUUGCUGCCAUGCUCAUUUGGGUUGUCUUGGUAGAUUCCUUUCCACCUUGCAAAUCCUUUCUCUUGGGUCUUUGAUCUUUCACGUUAUACCUGUCUCCUUCUGUUAACCUUGUAGGAGGAGCAUUUAUAUUUUGGAUUGGUUAUAUGGGUAAUAUGCUUCAACUUUUGCAAUUAUAAAAUUUUCUGUAUGUUCUAUGUUGUGUUUUUUUUUUUUGGCUUUGCUUACCAUGAUGAUAGUUUUUCCUUCUUUUUUUCUUUCAAUGAUAGGCUUGGAAGCUAAUUUGCAGUCACAUUGGGUGUGAAAUCUCUCAUUAUUUAUCUGUCAUUUCAAGUCCAGAAUGUAUAACCCUGUCAUAUUUGAAAUAUAUUCUAGUAAAUUUCCCUCCUAGGUGGCUUAUCUCUAGUAGUUCUAAUAUACUAUGUGCAAAAUGAAUAUUUUAUUGUCGUACUUUGGGUGAUGCUGUCAUAUCUUUAAAAUUACUUAUGCUAUUAAAUAUCUUAGAUUAAAAAAGGUUUUAACUUUAACGUAUAGGUGGUAAAAUUCAUUCUCUUAUUUUGAUUAUCUUGAAAGAAUGGAGGGAUAUUGAAUUAUAUUGCUGUAGAACAAUAGGUUGUAGAACAAGUUCUUUUUUUUUUUUUUGGUAGCAAAGGAUAGACUACGAUUAAACACAAACCAUUCAAUUACAAAAAUAGCUUGGAUUUAUCAAAAGCCAGCAAAGUCUCCACCACAAGUAGGUGAUCGCAAGAGCGAGUCUCACCUUCGCCUGCUGCAGUUCAGGGUUAGUACGCAUCCUAAGAGAGAGGGAAGCCCGAUCUGAUAGCGUAUGCUAAAACGACGAGCUUCAGGAAUCGGCCUGUUAAAAUUCCUGAACCGGACGGGCGGCUGACGGCAACGUAGGGAGUCCGGAGACGUCGGCGGGGCCCAGGGAAGAGUUAUCUUUCUGUUAAACAGCUGCCCACCUGAAACGGCCAGCCGGAGGUUAGGACAGCACUGGAAGAGCACCGCAGUCGCGUGAUGUCCCGGUGACCCCCGGACGCGCCCUUGUAACAUCCAAACCGAAUCCAUUCCCCAGGUAACACCGAACACGCAUCGUCCCACCCCUCUGGUCGAUUGAACAUUAGCAAGGAAGUCGCAAAAUGGAAUCCGUAACCUCGGGAAAAGGAUUGGCUCUGAGGGCUGGGCACGGGGGGUCCCAGUCCCGAACCCGUCGGCUGUCGGUGGACUGCUCGAGCUGCUUCCGCGGCGAGAGCGGGAUCGCCGCGUGCCGGCCGGGGACAGAUUGGGAACGAUCGUCGGCGGUCUUCCCCGGGCGUCGAACAGUCGACUCAGAACUGGUACGGACAAGGGAAUCCGACUGUUAAUUAAAACAAAGCAUUGCGAUGGUCCCGCGAAUGCUCACGCAAUGUGAUUCUGCCCAGUGCUCUGAAUGUCAAAGUGAAGAAAUUCACCAAGCGCGGGUAAACGGCGGGAGUAACUUAGACUCUCUAAGGUAGCCAAAUGCCUCGUCAUCUAAUUAGUGACGCGCAUGAAUGGAUUAACGAGAUUCCCACUGUCCCUGUCUACUAUCCAGCGAAACCACGGCCAAGGGAACGGGCUUGGCAGAAUCAGCGGGGAAAGAAGACCCUGUGAGCUUGACUCUAGUCCGACUUUGUGAAAUGACUUGAGAGGUGUAGGAUAAGGGGAGCGAAAGGCGGAAAGUGAAAUACCACUACUUUUACGUUAUUUACUUAUUCCGGAUCGCAGGCGGGGCAAUGCCCCUCUUUUGUGGACCAAGGCUCGCCUCGGCGGGCGAUACGAGCGGAAAGACAUAUUCAGUGGGAGAGUUGGCUGGGGCGGCACAUCUGUUAAAAGAUAACGCAGGUGUCUAAGAUGAGCUCAACGAGAACAGAAAUCUCGAUGUGACAAAGGUAAAAAGCUCGUUUGAUUCUGAUUUCCAGUACGAAUACGAACGUGAAAGCGUGGCCUAUCGAUCCUUUAGACCUUCGAAUUUGAACUAGAGGUUCAAAAAGUUACCACAGAAUAACUGGCUUGUGGCAGCCAAACGUCACUACGACGUUUGCUUUUUUGAUCCUUCGAUGUCGGCUCUUCCUAUCAUUGUGAAGCAGAAUUCACCAAGUGUUGGAUUGUUCACCCACCAAUAGGGAACGUGAGCUGGGUUAGACCGUCGUAAGACAGGUUAGUUUACCCUACUGAUGACAGCUAUCGCAAUAGUAAUUCAACCUAGUACGAGAGGAACCGUUGAUUCGCACAAUUGGUCAUCG